AAAGCCGGAUUAAUACCGCAUACGAUCUACGGAUGAAAGCGGGGGAUCGCAAGACCUCGCGCUAUAGGGGCGGCCGAUGGCGGAUUAGCUAGUUGGUGGGGUAAAGGCCCACCAAGGCGACGAUCCGUAGCUGGUCUGAGAGGACGACCAGCCACACUGGGACUGAGACACGGCCCAGACUCCUACGGGAGGCAGCAGUGGGGAAUUUUGGACAAUGGGCGCAAGCCUGAUCCAGCAAUGCCGCGUGUGUGAAGAAGGCCUUCGGGUUGUAAAGCACUUUUGUCCGGAAAGAAAUCCUCUGGGUUAAUACCCCGGGGGGAUGACGGUACCGGAAGAAUAAGCACCGGCUAACUACGUGCCAGCAGCCGCGGUAAUACGUAGGGUGCGAGCGUUAAUUCAAAUUACUGGGCGUAAAGCGUGCGCAGGCGGUGAUGU
rnacentral:rRNA from 1 species